UACGGAGGGUCCAAGCGUUAUCCGGAAUCAUUGGGUUUAAAGGGUCCGUAGGCGGCUUUGUAAGUCAGUGGUGAAAGCCCAUCGCUCAACGGUGGAACGGCCAUUGAUACUGCAAGACUUGAAUUAUUGGGAAGCAACUAGAAUAUGUAGUGUAGCGGUGAAAUGCUUAGAUAUUACAUGGAAUACCAAUUGCGAAGGCAGGUUACUACUAAUGGAUUGACGCUGAUGGACGAAAGCGUGGGUAGCGAACAGG
rnacentral:rRNA from 1 species